UUUUGGGAAAAAAAAAAAUUGAAGUUGCUUUUCCUGUCUGGGAUAGGCUCCAGAGAGUUAUAGGAAACUGGUAAAUGUGCUGUCCUCUGUUAAAGUCAUCAAGCUGACUUAUUUACCAGUAGAAAGCCUUAGCCAGGUCACAAGAUGGAACAUGAAAUGGGCUCUGGGACUGCUGCUUUCUCCUGCUGUGGGAUACAAGGUACCAAUCACCAAACUUGUAACAAAAAUGGAAAAGACAUUCUAAUUAUGAAUAACAUUUUAAUUUGGUUGACAGUCAUACUAGUGUAACACUAAUAUAAGUACUUCACAAGCACACAUAAAAUAACUUUGUUUUCUUAGAAUAGCAGCAAAAUUGUUUGUCAGUAUUUUAGAACUACCUUCUUUACCUCUGUUUUAUAGUAAUAAUGUCAUGUGCUAGAAAAGAUAGUUUGAACAUGAGAAGUUUUCUCCUAUUAUUCAAUGAUAUCCCCAAACACCACUUGAGAUGGAGAUUUGGCAUUUGUACUUGUAUCAUAUCAAGUUCCAUAAUGAAACUUGAUAACAGUAAAAGCAGUAUAAUUGCCCAAUGUCUUUUUUCACUAUUUCCACAUAUCCCAAAUAUGACUACUGUUUUCCCCAAAUUAUUAUCUCUUAAAAAGAGUUCCC
rnacentral:lncRNA from 1 species